CACAGGACAGGAACAAUUAUUGUGUGGAAAGCUUGAGGGGUUUUGAUUUCUGGUUUGUAGCCCCUGUCUCAGCUGGCAGAGGGCUCAGUACAGGACUGCAGCUACCCUGCAGCAUCAGCUUUGCAGCCCCAGACUGGGAGGGCCAGGGGGAGCCCAGGGUGGGGACCAGGCUGUGUGAGGGCCUGCAGGAGUGGCCCUGGCUCUGCUCCACCCCUCCUGUCCCCAGGCCCCUCCAGGCAUGAGCAGCAGGUGAUGGAGGGGACCUGACAGUCCCAGGAGCCACAAACCUCCUCAGGUUGCAGCUAUUAGGCCUUAAAGCACCAGCAUGUCACAGCAGUGGGAUGAGGAACUGCCUCCCUCUGCUUUGCUCCCAGUAAACUGCUGGGGUGGAGCUUUGAACUGUCCCUCUGGUUCCCUCCCUUGUCAAUAAUAAAAAGGUAAUGAAGAAAAAUCCUGUACUUUUAGAGACCUAAAAC